AUGAGCGACUCCUUCAUUCUCCACAUCCAGCUUCAGUCGCUCGCAUCUGCAUCUGCUCUGCUUUGCUUCACUCGUCCUAAAGUGAGCGUCCUGCCGCCCUCCAGUGCAGAGAUCUCCUCAAAGAAGACAGCGACACUGGUGUGUGUGGCCAGCAAGGGCUUCCCGUCAGACUGGAGCCUGAGCUGGAAGGUGGACGGGAGCAGCAGGUCUCAGGAGAGCAGCGCUGGGCUCCUGGAGAAGGACGGUCUGUACAGCUGGAGCAGCAGCCUGACUCUCUCUGAGCAGGAGUGGAUGGAGAGCGUCUCAGUGAGCUGUGAGGCCACACGGAGCGGCCAGCCUGCGCUCACUGCACACGUGACGAGACAGCAGUGUUCAGAGUAGAUCUGCUGCUCUUCUCACUCAUGUCUCACUGGAGACUAACAGCACAUGAGCGAAUCCUUCAUUCUCCACAACCAGCUUCAGUCGCUCUCAGCUGCAUCUGCUCUGCU